UGGGGAAUUUUGGACAAUGGGCGAAAGCCUGAUCCAGCAAUGCCGCGUGUGUGAAGAAGGCCUUCGGGUUGUAAAGCACUUUUGUCCGGAAAGAAGUCCUUGGCUCUAAUACAGUCGGGGGAUGACGGUACCGGAAGAAUAAGCACCGGCUAACUACGUGCCAGCAGCCGCGGUAAUACGUAGGGUGCAAGCGUUAAUCGGAAUUACUGGGCGUAAAGCGUGCGCAGGCGGUUUGCUAAGACCGAUGUGAAAUCCCCGGGCUCAACCUGGGAACUGCAUUGGUGACUGGCAGGCUAGAGUAUGGCAGAGGGGGGUAGAAUUCCACGUGUAGCAGUGAAAUGCGUAGAGAUGUGGAGGAAUACCGAUGGCGAAGGCAGCCCCCUGGGCCAAUACUGACGCUCAUGCACGAAAAGCGUGGGGAGCAAACAGGAUUAGAUACCCUGGUAGUCCACGCCCUAAACGAUGUCAACUAGUUGUUGGGGAUUCAUUUCCUUAGUAACGUAGCUAACGCGUGAAGUUGACCGCCUGGGGAGUACGGUCGCAAGAUUAAAACUUAAAUGAAUUGACGGGGUCAUAGCUGUUUCCU
rnacentral:rRNA from 1 species